rnacentral:rRNA from 1 species
AUCUACCCCCAUGCUACACUGAACCAGCGCCAUCCGGUCUGAUCUCCGAAGCUAAGCAGGGUCGGGCCUGUUUAGUACUUGGAUGGGAAACCACCUAGGAAGACCAGGUGCUAUGGGUG